AAAGCUGAUUGUGUUUCUAAGCUAGCCUUGCUAGCUUGCGAGCCAGGUGACAUAUAUUGUGCGAGACGAGCGAUGUAGUUCACUGAGCGGUUUCACACAAAACUAAGUGGUACU